UACGUAGGGGGCAAGCGUUGUCCGGAAUCAUUGGGCGUAAAGAGCGUGUAGGCGGCUCGGUAAGUCCGCUGUGAAAGUCCAAGGCUCAACCUUGGGAUGCCGGUGGAUACUGUCGAGCUCGAGUCCGGAAGAGGAGUGUGGAAUUCCUGGUGUAGCGGUGAAAUGCGCAGAUAUCAGGAGGAACACCAAUGGCGAAGGCAGCACUCUGGGACGUGACUGACGCUGAGACGCGAAAGCGUGGGGAGCAAACAGG
rnacentral:rRNA from 1 species